rnacentral:rRNA from 1 species
UACGUAGGGUGCAAGCGUUGUCCGGAAUUAUUGGGCGUAAAGAGCUCGUAGGCGGUCUGUCGCGUCGGCUGUGAAAGCUCGGGGCUCAACUCCGAGCCUGCAGUCGAUACGGGCAGACUAGAGUGCUGUAGGGGAGACUGGAAUUCCUGGUGUAGCGGUGAAAUGCGCAGAUAUCAGGAGGAACACCGGUGGCGAAGGCGGGUCUCUGGGCAGUAACUGACGCUGAGGAGCGAAAGCGUGGGGAGCGAACAGG